rnacentral:rRNA from 1 species
GACGAACGCUGGCGGCGUGCUUAACACAUGCAAGUCGAGCGGUAAGGCCCUUUCGGGGUACGACGAGCGGCGAACGGGUGAGUAACACGUGGGUGACCUCGCCCUCCAGCUCUGGGAGUAAGCCUGGGAAACCGGGUACUAAUACCGGAUAUGACUCCAUGACGCAUGUUGUGGGGUGGAAAGCCUUGUGCGGCUGAGGAUGGGCCCGCGGCCUAUCAGCUUGUUGGUGGGGUGAUGGCCUACCAAGGCGACGACGGGUAGCCGGCCUGAGAGGGCGACCGGCCACACUGGGACUGAGACACGGCCCAGACUCCUACGGGAGGCAGCAGUGGGGAAUCUUGCGCAAUGGGCGAAAGCCUGACGCAGCGACGCGCGUGAGGGAUGACGGCCU